AGAACAGCCAUUUUGUGAUGAUUCAAUGUAGCAGCCGAGUGUCAUGUCGUUGUGUUGGCGCCUGGGAGAUUUAUUUUGAAGUGAUGCUGUCUUUUUGGAUGAGAUCGGCUCGAGUGUGAUCCACGUGAACCUCGUGUCUGGUGAUAGUGGAAACUUCCAGUCUUAACCACAGGCUUUGUGAAAUGUUGCUCAUCAAAAGGAGCGUGACAGCAGCUUAUCAUCCUCAAACUAACGCCUGGAUGAAAAGACCAAUUACAACAUUAAACGAGCCCUCCAGAAAUUGGUUAACGACCAACAGAAUGACUGGGAUGUCUAUCUGGAUGCCACCUUUGUUUUCUUUACGAUCCAAGGUACACACCACCACCAAACACUCCCCCUUUCUUCUGAUGUAUGGGACAGAAGCAGUGUUCCCUGCAGAGCUUCCUGUUGAAAUGCCGGUGAGUGUGCUUAUUGAGUCAUUUCUUAUCAUACUAGCCUAUUUCAGAAGGAUUCUGCUUAAAGUAAAUUUCUUUAAAAAAA